rnacentral:rRNA from 1 species
CAGCAGCCACGGUAAUACGUAGGGUGCAAGCGUUAAUCGGAAUUACUGGGCGUAAAGCGUGCGCAGGCGGUUUUGUAAGACAGAGGUGAAAUCCCCGGGCUCAACCUGGGAACUGCCUUUGUGACUGCAAGGCUAGAGUACGGCAGAGGGGGAUGGAAUUCCGCGUGUAGCAGUGAAAUGCGUAGAUAUGCGGAGGAACACCGAUGGCGAAGGCAAUCCCCUGGGCCUGUACUGACGCUCAUGCACGAAAGCGUGGGGAGCAAACAGGAUUAGAUACCCGCGUAGUCCCUGUCUCUUAUAC